rnacentral:rRNA from 1 species
UACGCAAGUAAUUGGGAAUAUAUACAAACCCAGAUGCGAAAUGAAAGUAAAAUUUUGGGGGGGCCGGGCACUUAGGCCGCAAGGCUUACGCUGUCACGGUUCCCUUAGGGAAGAUGGGCCGGUCCCUUUGUUGGUCGGCCCCGCACUCCCGGGGCGUCUCGUGUUCAUUGCGAACUGAGGCGCACCAAGAGCGUACACGCUGGGACCCGAAAGAUGGUGAACUAUGCCUGGUCAGGACGAAGUCAGGGGAAACCCUGAUGGAGGUCCGUAGCGAUUCUGACGUGCAAAUCGAUCGUCGGAACUGGGUAUAGGGGCGAAAGACUAAUCGAACCAUCUAGUAGCUCGUUCCUUU